rnacentral:rRNA from 1 species
CUAGAGGCGAACGGGUGAGUAACACGUAUCCAACCUUCCCUUUUGACUGGGAUAACUAAAAGAAAUUUUAGCUAAUACCGGAUGAUAUAUUUAGACGCAUGUCUUUAUAUUAAAAGUUGGGUUUCCAACACAUUAGGAUGGGGAUGCGCCACAUUAGCUAGUUGGUAGGGUAACGGCCUACCAAGGCAACGAUGUGUAGCUAUACUGAGAGGUAGAAUAGCCACAAUGGAACUGAAACACGGUCCAUACUCCUACGGGAGGCAGCAGUAGGGAAUUUUCCACAAUGGGGGCAACCCUGAUGGAGCAACGCCGCGUGAACGAUGAAGGCCUUCGGAUCGUAAAGUUCUUUUAUAAGGGAAGAAUACUAAAAGAAGGAAAUGUUUUUAGU